GAUGAACGCUGGCGGCGUGCCUAAUACAUGCAAGUCGAGCGAACGGACGAGAAGCUUGCUGCUCUGAUGUUAGCGGCGGACGGGUGAGUAACACGUGGAUAACCUACCUAUAAGACUGGGAUAACUUCGGGAAACCGGAGCUAGUACCGGAUAAUAUUUUGAACCGCAUGGUUCAAAAGGGAAAGACGGUCUUGCUGUCACGUAUAGAUGGAGCCGCGCUGCAUUAGCUAGUUGGUAAGGUAACGGCUUACCAAGGCAACGAUGCAUAGCCGACCUGAGAGGGUGAUCGGCCACACUGGAACUGAGACACGGUCCUGCCUCCUACGGGAGGCCGCAGUGGGGAAUCUUCCGCAAAGGGCGAAAGCCUGCCGGCGCAACGCCGCGUGAGUGAUGAAGGUCUUCGGAUCGUAAAACUCUGUUAUUAGUGAAGAACAUAUGUGUAAGUAACUGUGCACAUCUUGACGGUACCUAAUCAGAAAGCCCCGGCUAACUACGUG
rnacentral:rRNA from 1 species